GGCGAACGCUGGCGGCGUGCCUAAUACAUGCAAGUAGAACGCUGAAGGAGGAGCUUGCUUCUCUGGAUGAGUUGCGAACGGGUGAGUAACGCGUAGGUAACCUGCCUGUUAGCGGGGGAUAACUAUUGGAAACGAUAGCUAAUACCGCAUAAUAGUAGAUGUUGCAUGACAUUUGCUUAAAAGGUGCAAUUGCAUCACUACCAGAUGGACCUGCGUUGUAUUAGCUAGUUGGUGGGGUAUCGGCUCACCAAGGCGAGGAUACAUAGCCGACCUGAGAGGGUGAUCAGCCACACUGGGACGGAGACACGGCCCAGAGUGCUACGGGAGGCAGCAGUAGGGAAUCUUCGGCAAGGGACGGAAGUCUGACCGAGCAGCGCCGCGGGAGUGAAGAAGGUUUUCGGAUCGUAAAGCUCUGUUGUAAGAGAAGAACGAGUGUGAGAGUGGAAAGUACACACUGUGACGGUAUCUGACCAGAAAGGGACGGCUAACUACGUG
rnacentral:rRNA from 1 species